CCUACGGGUGGCAGCAGUGGGGGAUAUUGCACAAUGGGGGGAACCCUGAUGCAGCGACGCCGCGUGGGUGAAGAAGCGCCUCGGCGCGUAAAGCCCUGUCAGCAGGGAAGAAAAUGACGGUACCUGAAGAAGAAGCCCCAGCUAAAUAGGUGCCAGCAGCCGCGGUAAUACGGAGGGGGCAAGCGUUAUCCGGAUUUACUGGGUGUAAAGGGGGCGCAGACGGCGAUGCAAGCCAGGGGUGAAAGCCGGGGGCCCAACCCCGGGACGGCUCUUGGAACUGCGUGGCUGGAGUGCAGGAGGGGCAGGCGGAAUUCCUGGUGUAGCAGUGAAAUGCGUAGAUAUCAGGAGGAACACCGGUGGCGAAGGCGGGCUGCUGGACUGCAACUGACGUUGAGGCCCGAAAGCGUGGGGAGCAAACAGGAUUAGAUACCCCAGUAGUC
rnacentral:rRNA from 1 species